rnacentral:rRNA from 1 species
ACGUAGGUGGCAAGCGUUGUCCGGAAUUAUUGGGCGUAAAGCGCGCGCAGGUGGGAUGUUAAGUCUUUUGUAAAAGUGCGGGGCUCAACCCCGUAAAGCGAUGGAUACUGGCAUUCUUGAGUGCAGGAGAGGAAAGCGGAAUUCCCAGUGUAGCGGUGAAAUGCGCAGAUAUCCGGAGGAACACCAGUGGCGAAAGCGGCCUCCUGGACCAUUCCUGACACUCAGACGCGAAAGCUAGGGUAGCAAACGG